rfam:Brassica napus, WGS project CCCW01000000 data, contig: 13919
AGUCCUCUUUGAUAUUGGCCUGGUUCACUCAGAUUACACACGUACUAUAUGCAUUCUCUUAGUUAUCUGAUUGAGCCGCGCCAAUAUCUCAGUGCUCUCU